AUUGAACGCUGGCGGCAGGCCUAACACAUGCAAGUCGGGCGAGUGGCGGACGGGUGAGUAAUGUAUGGGAAUCUGCCUGAUGGAGGGGGAUAACUACUGGAAACGGUAGCUAAUACCGCAUACCAUCGGAUGUACCCAGAUGGGAUUAGCUUGUAGGUGAGGUAACGGCUCACCUAGGCGACGAUCCCUAGCUGGUCUGAGAGGAUGACCAGCCACACGGGGACUGAGACACGGUCCAGACUCCUACGGGAGGCAGCAGUGGGGAAUAUUGCACAAUGGGCGCAAGCCUGAUGCAGCCAUGCCGCGUGUAUGAAGAAGGCCUUCGGGUUGUAAAGUACUUUCAGUCGGGAGGCGUUACCGACAGAAGAAGCACCGGCUAACUCCGUGCCAGCAGCCGCGGUAAUAC
rnacentral:rRNA from 1 species